rnacentral:rRNA from 1 species
ACAGGAUUAGAUACCCUGGUAGUCCACGCCGUAAACGAUGUCGACUUGGAGGCUGUUCCCUUGAGGAGUGGCUUCCGGAGCUAACGCGUUAAGUCGACCGCCUGGGGAGUACGGCCGCAAGGUUAAAACUCAAAUGAAUUGACGGGGGCCCGCACAAGCGGUGGAGCAUGUGGUUUAAUUCGAUGCAACGCGAAGAACCUUACCUACUCUUGACAUCCAGAGAACUUUCCAGAGAUGGAUUGGUGCCUUCGGGAACUCUGAGACAGGUGCUGCAUGGCUGUCGUCAGCUCGUGUUGUGAAAUGUUGGGUUAAGUCCCGCAACGAGCGCAACCCUUAUCCUUUGUUGCCAGCGAUUCGGUCGUGAACUCAAAGGAGACUGCCGGUGAUAAACCGGAGGAAGGUGGGGAUGACGUCAAGUCAUCAUGGCCCUUACGAGUAGGGCUACACACGUGCUACAAUGGCGCAUACAAAGAGAAGCGACCUCGCGAGAGCAAGCGGACCUCAUAAAGUGCGUCGUAGUCCGGAUCGGAGUCUGCAACUCGACUCCGUGAAGUCGGAAUCGCUAGUAAUCGUGGAUCAGAAUGCCACGGUGAAUACGUUCCCGGGCCUUGUACACACCGCCCGUCACACCAUGGGAGUGGGUUGCAAAAGAAGUAGGUAGCUUAACCUUCGGGAGGGCGCUUACCACUUUGUGAUUCAUGACUGGGGUGAAGUCGUAACAAGGUAGCAUCU